rnacentral:rRNA from 1 species
GUGAGGAAUAUUGGACAAUGGAUGGAAAUCUGAUCCAGCCAUGCCGCGUGCAGGAAGACGGCCCUAUGGGUUGUAAACUGCUUUUGUAUGGGAGCAAUAAGGGCUACGUGUAGCCUGAUGAGAGUACCAUACGAAUAAGGACCGGCUAACUCCGUGCCAGCAGCCGCGGUAAUACGAAGGGUCCGAGCGUUAUCCGAAUUUAUUGGGUUUAAAGGGUGCGUAGGCGGUUGUAUAAGUCAGCGGUGAAAUUUUCCGGCUCAACCGGUAUACUGCCGUUGAUACUGUAAGGCUAGGAUAUGGUUGCUGUGGGUGGAAUGUGUGGUGUAGCGGUGAAAUGCUUAGAGAUCACACAGAAUAUCGAUUGCGAAGGCAGCUCACAAAGCCAUUAUUGACGCUGAGGCACGAAAGUGUGGGGAUCAAACAGGAUUAGAAACCCCGGUAGUCC